AAAAAAAACGCAAUUAGGGGACGAAAAAGGGAGGCGACCAUAAACGAUAGAAACCCUAAUCACCAAAUCAAGGACAAACCUGUGAGCUUCAUCGUUGUCGUGGUCACCGCCGGAGGUGAGCUCUCUUUUGCUUCAGCCUUUGAUUUUUUGUACGAUUCGGAAGCGAUUAGGAGAAACGCGUGUUUGAGGGAGGAUUAUGAUGAGAGAGACGUGAGUUGGAGAGAACGAUUUUGUGAGUGAGGUUGAGAACUCGCGAGAUUGUGAGAGACGCGAGGGUAAGAUUGUGAGUGAGAUUGGGAGAAGAAGAGCGAGAGAGCUAGACGAUGAAGUCUGUUCUGUUUUCUUUUUUUCAAUUUUUUUCUCUAAUUUAUUUUAGAUAGAAUAAUCCAUUUUAAAAAAACUAUUAAAAUCCAUUUAAUUUUCCUAGGUAUUUAGUUAAUAAAUGUUUGUUUAUAUUUUCAAUUUAUUUCCUCCUUUUCAAUUCACUUUCCCAUUGUAAACCCAACAGCCGAACGGCUAGGUUUAAUUAGGUUAGUCUAACAGUUUUUUGUUAGUUUUUUUUUAGUUUAAUUCUAAUUUUAAUCCACUUUAGUUUAUUUAUCCAAUCUAACAUCAAAGUAACAACUAGUCAUAAGUGGCCUGGUGGAGAGGGGUGGUUUCCAUAGUCUCAAGUGGAGUGGGUUCAAUACUCAUAUGUAGCAUUUUUUUUAGUAUUUCAUUUUUCUUUUAGCAUUUUACUUUCUUUUAGCAUUUUGUUUCUUUUAAUAUUUUUAUGUCUAUGUUUUUUUUAUUAAAUUCAUCAUGCAUUCAAAAACCAUUUUAAAACUAUAAAAAUCAUUUCUUUUCUCGAUUCAAUAUCGAGCCCAUUUCCACACCCUUGUAAGUCGAUUGCUUUUUAAGCAUCGCCA
rnacentral:lncRNA from 1 species